rnacentral:rRNA from 1 species
UACGUAGGGUGCGAGCGUUGUCCGGAAUUACUGGGCGUAAAGGGCUCGUAGGCGGUUUGUCGCGUCGUCUGUGAAACCAGCAGCUCAACUGUUGGCUUGCAGGCGAUACUGGCAGACUUGAGUACUGCAGGGGAGACUGGAAUUCCUGGUGUAGCGGUGAAAUGCGCAGAUAUCAGGAGGAACACCGGUGGCGAAGGCGGGUCUCUGGGCAGUAACUGACGCUGAUGAGCGAAAGCGUGGGUAGCGAACAGGAUUAGAUACCCCCGUACGU